rnacentral:tRNA from 2 species
GGUGAUGUGGCUCAGUGGUAGAGUUUUGCUUUGCAUGCACAAGGCCCUGGGUUCAAUCCCCAGCACCACAA